rnacentral:lncRNA from 1 species
AAUAUGACAAUCGUCACUCAUAGUCCAUGUGCUCUCCUUCCUCUUUUCAACAUCUAACUCAACCAUCAUAAUGUGGAAUUCUUUGGAUGGCUUCGAGAUGUGCUCAGACACUUCCAUCUUCGUGAAUAAAUUUUGAAGGGUUUGUAACUCCCAUACUUGACUUCUUGUGAAUAGUUUAAAGGCCCUAGUGUGUGCCUUUAUAAACUUUGCAAAGCAUAACAAAGGAAUCAAUUGAAUUUUGCGUUAAGUGAGAAUAACAAGUCAGAGCUCUCGCUAUCAAAGUUUUGCAGAAUGUUUUUACCAAAACCUUCUUGAUUUCAUCCAUCAUACUUUGCAACAUACAAACAUAGUCUUACUGUAUCCUUUAGGCUGGAGUUUUCUUUCAUAAACUACUUACUUGAGGACUUUUAUCAGUUUCCCCCUAUAUAUUGGAUAGUCUUACUGUAUCCUUUAGGCUCAACUUCAUGUUAUUUGUGUUGUUCCUUCAGCCUUCAUCAUCCUACUCACUGAGAACGUGUGAGUCGAAAUUUCUCUAUGACACUCUACCAUGUCUUCUACCACUCGGGCUUGUUCUUCAAUCGAUAUUUAACCCCACACAGCUCGAGGGGUGCCUAUUCGUUGUUCUGGGCCAAGUGACUGUUUCACUUGUUGGCAUUUAGUUGUUUGUCAAUCAUAUUGUGAUUCUUGUAGAAUUUUCCUGCAAAGCAAAUUCUAAAAAGAUAGCAUGCAUAUAGACGAUUGAACGAUUAAAACAACACCACAAUGGUCCUAUGUGUGCCAAAUUGUUUAACCAAAAAAGUACAAUUAAUAUUGAAUUCAUCAAGCGGUUUAAAGGUAGGUGAGUUAGUGAAUGAAAUAAAUUACGAUAAUAAUAGAAUAUACUGAAUUGAAAAUACGAAAGUAAUCAAGUUGUGUUUUAGAUCAUGAGAAUUGACCUUUGAGGCCUAAGUAUGUUGUGUCCGGCCGAAUGACUUAUGAACUAAAUUACUAAGAGUACUUGUUGCUUAUAUAUAGAAAAUAUGUUUGCAUGAAUAAAUAUAUAAAUCGAAAAAUAUGGAGCCCCUAACAUUGAUGUCUACUGAGCUAAUUAUAAAUAACAAACCAUGUAACUAAUUUUAUCUCACUCAUGCAUGAUUUUUGCAUGUGUGUAUAUGAACAACACACAAAUUAUUAUUCAUUAUUAAUUGAUGUUUACAUCGAAUUAUAAUAAUUUAUUAUAAUUGGUAUAAAUAUUGAAUAUGAAUUAUUAUUUUUGUUGGAUAACCACAAUAAUCAUGGUAUCCAAGUCAUUGUAUUUGGAAUAUAUAUCCAAAUCUAGUUUGGAAAAUGAGAUUCUUAAAAGUCACUGACAUUCUUUCUUCAAUUUAAGUUACACUAGGUAGUUAAUUAUUGUGAUUUUUUAGUAUUUUUUACUUAAUUUUUAAAUAAUGUUAUUCUUCUAGUCUCAAUUUAUGUGGCACUAAUAAAAUUUUGCGAAUCUAACUUAAUUUUCUAUUUGUCUUUUAUUUUAUUUUAAUUAUUGUGAUAUAUAUUACUUUUACUUAAUUUUUAAAUAAUAUAUAUUACUUAUAUAUCCCUAUUUAUUCGGCACAGAUUCGAGGAUCAAAUCGGAUUUCUAUGUCUUUUAAAUUUUUUAAGUUUUUUAUUAUUGUGAUUUAUAGUAUUUUUUUACGUAAUUUUCAAAUAAUAUAUAUGAUUUCAUUUGUUUUAAUUUAUGUAGCAUCGAUAGAAUUUCAUGAGCAAUUUUUUAUAAUGAUUUUAAAAAAUUCAAGUUCUUAAUUAUUGAGAUUUAUAAUACUUUUUACGUAAUUUCUAAAUAAUACGAUUUAUUUUAUUUUUUACACAAUUUUUAAAUAUAUAAAAGACUAAAAAAUAAGACAUACAAAUUAAAACGGAAAAAUUAUCAAAAAUUACAAAAGUACCCUUAAAAUGAAAUACCCUUAAAAUGCCAACGGAAAAACUAUAAAAAAUAAAUAAAAAUAUACCCUUAAAAUGCCAUUUUUCUUUUCUUGAUAUGCUGCCAGGCAGGCAUGUUGACCAUGACCUUCCUGGUUAUUCUCCCUUAGGGGAUUACUAGACACAAGCACCCGUGCUAGUACGGGCCCAAUGUCUGUUAUUUUUUGUCUCACUGUAUGUGACACAGAAAAAAUUUAGAGAGUUAAUUAAAUUUUAAUAUGAUUUUUAAAUAUUUUAAGUUGUUAAUUGUUGUAAUUUAUAGUACUUUUACGUAAAUUUUAAAUAAUAUAUGUUACUUUCCUUGUCCCAAUAUAUGUAGCACAAAUAGAAUUUCAAGAGUCAAUAUGUUAUUAACUAUUGAGAUUUACAAUAUUUUUUACGUAGUUUUCAAAUUAAAUAAUACAUGUAACUUCUUUUAUUCCAUUUUAUGUGACAAAUAAAUUAAUUGUAUGAGUCAAUUGAAUUUUUAUAUAUGUUUUGUUAAAAAAAAUAUUUUAAAAUAUUAAUUAUCAUGAUUUAUAAUAUUUUUUAAGUAAUUUUUAAAUAUAUAAAAAAAUUAAAAAAUAAAACAAAUAAAUUAAAACAGAGGAAAAAAAUAGACAAAAGUAAUAGAAGUGUGGAACCACACAGGUGAAGCAGACAUGUUAACUGCCUCAUGUGUGGUUAUCCACACUUAUAAAUAAGUAGUAGAUAAAGAUGGAAUAACUAAAAUAUGAAUAAGAAAUAUAUUUACAUAAUACGAAAUGUCAAAAGCCUCAAAUCAAUAAAUAAGCUGAAAUUAAAACAGAAAUAAAUCAAUAAAUAAGCUGAAAUUAAAACAGAAAUAAAAAAACUGAAGUUGGCAAGGUUUGAACCCCAGACCUUGCACUUGCAAUGUCAAGCCUAAACCACCAAGUCAAACAACUAAAUAUGAAAAUAAGCACACAGCUGAAGCAGACAUGUUGACCCUCAGCUGUGUGCUUAUUGACACUUAUAUAUUAGUAGUGGAUACUAGAUAUAAGUGCCCGUGCUAGCAUGGGCCCAAUAUGUUAUUUUUUUGUCUCACUUUAUGUGACGGAUAAAAUUUAAAGAGUCAAUUAAAUUUUGAUAUGAUUUUUAAAUAUUUUAAGUUGUUAAUUAUUGUAAUUUUUACGUAAUUUUAAAAUAAUAUAUAUUACUUUCCUUGUCUCAAUAUAUGUAGCACAAAUAGAAUUUCAAGAGUUAAUAUGUAGUUAAUUAUUGAGAUUUAUAAUAUUUUUUACGUAGUUUUCAAAUUAAAUAAUACAUGCUACUUCUCUUGUCCCAUUUUGUGUGACACGAAUAUAUUAAUUUUAGUUGUCAAUUAUCAUGAUUUAUAUAUAUUUUUAUGCAAUUUUUAAAUAUAUAAAAAAUUAAAAAAAUAAGACAAACAAUUUAAAACGGAGAAAAAAAUAGGCAAAUAUAUAUGUAACUAUGGAACCACACAGGUGAAGCAGGCAGACCGUCACAUGUGUGGUUAUCGACACUUAUAUAUAAGCAGUAGAUUUUUUUGUCUCACUUUAUGUGACAUAAAUAAAAUUUAGAGAGUCAAUUAAAUUUUGAUAUGAUUUAUAAAAUUUUUAAGUUGUUAAUUAUUGUAAUUUUUACGUAAUCUUUAAAUAAUAUAUGUUACUUUCCUUGUCCCAAUAUAUGUAGCACAAAUAUAAUUUCAAUAUGUCGUUAAUUAUUGAGAUUUACAAUUUUUUUUACGAAUUAAAUAAUUCUUGUUACUUCUUUUGUCCCAUUUUAUGUGACACAGAUAUAUUAAUUUUAGUUGUCAAUUAUCAUAAUUUAUAGUAUUUUUUAUGCGAUUUUUAAAUAAUAUUAAAAAUUAAAAAAAUAAGACAAACAAAUUAAAACGAAAAAAAAAAAAGGCAAAUAUAUAUGUAAGUGUGGAACCACACAGGUUGAAGCAGGCAUAUUGACCUCCACCUGUGUGGUUAUCCACACUUAUAUAUAAGUAAUAGUAGAUAUAUAGUAGGGGACUAGACAAUGGAGCCCGUGCCAGCACGGGUCCAAUAUAUAUUGACUCUCUAAAUUAAUUUAAGUUAUUAAUUAUUGUGAUUUAUAAUAUAUUUUUUUGUAAUAUUUUGACACAAAAUAUAUAUUAUUUAUUUUAUCCUAAUUUAUGUGACACCGAUAAAAUUUCGAGAGCCAAUCGAAUUUUUUAUGUCUUACACAUAUUUUUAGUUGAUAAUUAUUGUGAUUUAUAAAAAUUUUACAUCAUUUUCCAAUAAUAUAUGUUACUCACUCUAUCUUAAUUUAUGUGACAUAGAUAUAAUUUUGAGAGUCAAUCGAAUUUUUUAUAUAUUAUAAAUAUUUUAAGUUGUUAAUUAUUGUGAUUUAUAAAACUUUUAGAAAACUUUAACAUUAUUUUUAAAUAAUAUAUGUUACUCAAUUUGUCUCAAUUUAUGUGAUAAAAUAGAAUUUUAAGAGUCAAUCGAAUUUUUAUAUAUCUUUUCAAUUUUUAGAUUGAAAAGAGUACCUUUAUCCCCCCCCCCCCUUUCGAAAAAGUCUAGAUAUACCCUCCAUUUAAAGUUUGGCUCACUCAUGCCCUCGCCGUCCAACUUUUCGUCUAAAUAUGCCCUUAUGGGAGUUAGUUGGUCUGCUGGACAUAUCUAGCUCAUUUUCCAUUUCUUUAAAUGUCAUUUGGAAUUGCCAUGUCAUUUUGACUUUACCACAUGACUUUUAUAUGAAAAUGGGAAAGGAUCAAUUAUGCCCCUAAAAAAUUUAAACUCAUAAACACCUGAUCCGACCCAUAAAUCAACCCCCCUUUUAAAUAAAAUGCCCAACCCGUUUUCAACAAUUUUGUUUAAAUUUUUAUUUUUUCGGUAAAUCCCAAAAAUUAGUAAUUGAUUAAUAAAAAAUAGGAAAAAUAUGAAAAAAAUAUAAAAUUAACGCCAAAAAUUCACAAAUAAAUAUUUUAACCUUAAAUUCAUCAAUUUCAACAAUUUUUUAAAAUUUUUAUUUUUUUCGGUAAAUCCCAAAAAAUGAGUAAUUGAUUAAUAAAAAAAUAUGGAAAAAAUAUAAAAUUAACGCCAAAAAAAUCACAAAUAAAUAUAGUAACCUUAAAUUCAAAAAAAUUUUCAAACAAUUUUUUUUAAAUUUUUAUUUUUUUUCGGCAAAUCCCGAAAAUGAGUAAUUGAUUAAUAAAAAAAUAUGAAAAAUAUGAAAAAAAUAUAAAAUUAAUCACAAAUAAAUAUAGUAACCUUAAAUUCAAAAAAUUCAACAAUUUUUUUUAAUUUUUAUUUUUUUUAAUAAAUUACUCAUUUUCAACAAAUAAAAUGUUAAUACUUAUUUUAGACAUAAUAAACUAAACUAAAGUUUAGUGUUAAAGGUUUGGGUGAUAAAGAUCUUGUGCAUUAUUAGUACAUAUCAUUAUAAUGAUUUAAAUGUCAUUUUAACACUUCCAUUAUUUCUUAUAUUUUAUAAAUUAUUUAAUAAAAGAUAAUUAAUGAUUUAAUAUAAAUUUAUUUCAUUACUUUUGAAGAUAUGGAUAAUUCUCCAAGCAAAUUAUCAAAUUAUAAAGAUAUUUGCUUGAUUGAUUCUGGUACAACACACAUGAUAUUAAAAAAUGAGAAAUAUUUUUCUCAUUUAAAUAUGGGCAAUAUGAAUGUUACUACGAUAUCUGGUAGUGCUAAUUUGAUCAAGGACUCCGGAAGAGCCAUUAUAAUUUUGCCCAAGGGAACCAAACUCAUAAUAAAUAAUGCCAUGUUUUCUCCUUAGUCUCGGAGAAACUUAUUGAGUUUCAAAGAUAUUCGUGAAAAUGGUUAUCAUAUCAAGACAAUUGAUGAAAUGAAUCUUGAAUAUCUUGGUAUACCAAAAAUGUCUCCGGGCAGACAUAUGUUGUAGAAAAAUUCACAGCUUUAUCUUCUGGAUUGUAUUGAACAAAAAUUAGUGCAAUUGAGGCACAUUAUAUAGUAAACUGGGGAUUUACUAAUUCCAAUACCUUUGUACUUUGGCAUGAUCGUCUACGACAUCUAUAAUGAUGAGACGAAUUAUAGAAAAUUCAAAUGGGCAUCCAUUAAAGAAUUUGAAAAUUCUUUUAAAUGGUGAAUUUUCUUGUAAUGCAUGUUAUCAAGGCAAGUUAAUUGUGAGACCAUCACCAACAAAGGUCAAAAUUGAGUCCCUGCAUUCUUGGAACGUAUACAUGGGGACAUUUGUGGACCUAUUCACCCACCAAGUGGGCCAUUUAGAUAUUUUAUGGUUCUGAUAGAAGCUUCUUCUAAAUGGUCUCAUGUGUGCCUAUUGUCAUCUCACAAUUUGGCAUUUACAAAAUUGUUGGCACAAAUAAUACGAUUAUAGGCACAAUUUCCUGACAAUCAGAUUAAGUCUAUUCGCCUUGAUAACGCUGCAGAGUUUUCAUCCCAGACAUUUAAUGAUUAUUGUCUAUCUAUUGGGAUAAGAGAUGAACAUCCUGUAGCUCAUGUUCACACUCAAAAUGGUCUGGCUGAGUCAUUAAUUAAACGAUAGUAGUUGAUAGCAAGACCAUUACUUAUGAAAACUAAGUUUCCCACUUCUGUGUGGGGUCAUGCAAUUUUACAUGCUGUAACACUUAUUCGUCUCUGACCGACACAUUAUCAUAAGUUCUUCCUAUUGCAAUUGGUUUUGGGUCAACAACCAAACAUAUCUCAUCUAAGAAUUUUUGGAUGCGCUGUAUAUGUGCCGGUAGCACCACCACAUCACACUAAGAUGGCCCCCAAAGAAGGUUAGAAAUAUAUAUUGGGUUUGAAUCACCCUCUAUUAUUCGCUACCUUGAACCACUAACAAGAGAUAUGUUCACAUCCCGAUUCGCGAAUUGUCGAUUUAAUGAGACAUUUUCCCCAAAAUUUGGGGGAGAAAAUAGUGAAAUUAAAGGAGAAAUUUUGUGGAAAAAUCCAUCAUUGUCUCAUCUUGAUCCCCGUACUUCCAUUUGUGAGCAAGAAGUACAAAAGAUCAUUCAUUUGCAGAAAAUUACAAAUCAAAUGCCAGACGCAUUUACAGAUUUGAAAAGGAUUACUAAAUCACAUAUUCCUGCAAAGAAUGUCCCAAUUCGAAUUGAUGUCCCUGUAGAACCAUCUACUAGUGUCAUAGCUAGUGAGUCAAAAGCACGCCUGAAGUGUGGUAGACCAUUAGGUUCAAAGGAUCAAAAUCCUAGAAAAAGAAAAUUAAAAGAUUAAAAUGACACUAUGAAAAAACCUCACAUAGAAAGUCAAGAUGUGAAUAAUUCUGGUAUCCUUGAAGGGAUCAAUGAGCUUGAGACUCAAGAAAAUAAUGAACUAUCCAUAACAUCAAGUGAUGAUGAAACAAAUCUGAAUCGAUCAGAAAUAGCGGUGGAUUAUGUUUUUGCAUACAAUGUUGCAUAAAAAAUUAUGCAAAAUAGUGAGGAUUUUGAACCUCAAUUUGUUGUAGAAUGUCGACAAAGAAAUGAUUGGCCAAAAUGGCAAGAGCAAUUCAAUCAGAAUUGAAUUCACUUGUCAAACACGAAGUUUUUGUGCCUAUAGUACAAACACCUAAUGGUAUUAAACCUGUUGGCUAUAAAUGGAUUUUUAUGCGGAAAAGGAAUGAGAAAAAUGAAAUACAAAGGUACAAAGCACGUCUUGUUGCAUAAGGAUUUUCUCAAAGGCCUGGCGUCGAUUAUGAAGAGACAUACUCACCUGUUAUGGAUGCAAUAACAUUGCGUUAUCUCAUUAAUUUCAUGAUCCAUGAGAGGCUUGAAAUGCAUUUGAUGGAUGUGGUUACAACCUAUCUUUAUGGAUCACUCGAUAAUGAUAUCUACAUGAAAAUUCCUGAAGGAUUCAAAAUGCCCAAAGCAUACAAUUCAAAGUCUCGGAAAAUGUACUCAGUUAGAUUGCAAAGAUCAUUGUAUAGUUUGAAGCAAUCUGGAUGUAUGUGGUAUAACUGUCUUAGUGAGUAUUUAUCUAAGGAAGGUUAUAUAAAUGAUGCGAUUUGUCCCUGUGUGUUUAUAAAGAAGGCAAUGUCAGAGUUUGUUGUACUUGUUGUUUAUGUUGAUGGCAUAAACCUUAUUGGAACUCCAAUGGAACUUCAUAGGGUAAUCGAAUAUUUGAAGAACGAUUUUGAGAUGAAAGAUCUCGGAAAGACAAAAUUAUGUCUUGGUUUGCAAAUAGAGCAUUUGAUAAACGGUAUCUUUGUUCAUCAAUCUGCAUACACAGAAAAAGUGUUGAAAAGAUUUUAUAUGGAUGCAACACAUCCAUUAAGUACUCCAAUGAUUGUUCGAUCACUUGAUGUGAAUAAAGAUCCAUUUCGACCUUAAGAAAAGAAUGAGGAAAUUCUUAGUCCUGAAGUACCAUAUCUCAGUGCAAUUGGUGCAUUAAUGUAUCUUGCUAACACUACAAGGCCUGAUAUAACCUUUUCGGUUAAUUUGUUAGCAAGAUAUAGUUCUGCUCCUAUUAGGAGACAUUGGAAUGGGAUCAAACACAUAUUGCGGUAUCUAAAAGGGACUAUCGAUAUGGGCUUAUUCUAUUCUAACGAUUGCAGUCCAAACCUUGUUGGUUAUGUUGAUGCAGGAUAUCUAUCUUACCCACAUAAAGCCCGAUCUCAAACAAAUUACGUAUUCAUAUGUGGGGGUACUGCCAUAUCUUCGAGAUUUACGAAGCAAUCUAUUGUGGCCACUUCAUCAAAUCAUGCUGAGAUAAUAGCUAUUCAUGAAGCAAAUCGAGAAUGUGUGUGGUUAAGGUCCAUAAUACACCUUAUUCGAGAAAAAUGUGGUUUGAAAUGCGACAAAGUACCCACAAUUUUAUAUGAGGAUAAUGCAGCAUGCAUAACACAACUCAGGGGAGAAUUCAUAAAAAGGAGAUAGAACGAAACACAUUUCACCGAAGUUCUUCUAUACACACAUGAGCUCCAGAAGAAUGGUGAUAUCAACGUACAUCAGAUUCGUUCGAGUGAUAAUGUGGCUGGUUUAUUCACUAAGUCUUUGCCAAUCGCAACUUUCGAGAAGAUGGUAUACAAGAUUGGAAUGAGAAAACUUGGAUAACUAAAUCGUGAUUUUCAUCAGGGGAGUAAAAUACGCGCUGUACUCUUUUUUCCUUAAUCAAGGUUUUAUCCCACUAGGUUUUCCUGAUAAGGUUUUUAAUGAGGCAGCAAGUAAUGCGUAUUAGUAACAACUAUUUAUACUUGUUACUUUACUAAGAAUUUUAUUUUACAUGGACAUCCAAGGGGGAGUGUUGUAAAUGGAUUAAUGAAUGUCCAUUAUACCCUUCUUAUGCCUAUAUAAAAGACAUUGUAACUUGUAUGGAAAAACACACAAAAAUUUCCUAUUUUAUCUCUCUACUACAUUCUUCUCUUCUUGGUUGUUAUUAGUUUAAUUUUAUUACUUAGUCUUUAUUUUAUAACAAGUACAAUUAUUAACCGAAUUUUGCUUAAGAUACUCAAAGCUUUUAAUUUCUGAUAUUUCGAGAGUGCCCCUUGGUCGGCAAGCAAGCAUGACGACCUUGCUUGAGUUAGUCUCUUAUACUAGAUCAGUGCAGCCCGUGCUAUGCACGGGCCCAACAAAUUAUUUGUAUUACAAAAUUAUAAGGAAUGCAAAUUUAUAUUUACAAAUAUACUACAAAAUUGCCUCUUAGGUAUGGAGGAAGGCCAAUAGCCCUUUGUUGUUUGUAUGAAAGUUUAAGUAAAAUAAGAAACUAAAAGUUCUUACAACAUUUGAUAAGAAAAAGUAAACAAACAAUGUAGAUUCAAACUGCACAACAUGAAUAAAUGUAUUAAUGAUCUCCUAAUUAAGUUACCAAAAUUGUUGAUAAACAGAUCAACACACAAUCUCUAGAAAAUAAUUAAUCAAAUAAUAUGCUCAAAAAUACAUUUCAAUCUAAAUAUAUUAAAAUUUGUCAACCGAUAAAAUAAAACAGGGAUAAAGACAACACUGUUAAUUCAGUACCUAGCCACUUGAAACUUUAUUUCACAUCAUCAAUAAAUAAUAUCACCAAAAAAGAUUUAUAUAUAUAUUUAUCUAUAAAAAAUUGAUAGGUUUGAAACGUUCAGCAUUUUUUAAGCAACCAUCAUACAACAUGAAGCUACUUGUUCACAAAAUUUCAGUACCAUGACAAUUUGCAGCUUUUUCUGUACUCUUCAUGAGUUAAUCUAAGAUUACGUGUAUUUUGCACUUCCAAUUUGAUUCAGUAUUGUCCCUAAAAUUAAAAAGGAUCUUAGUACUUGCUCCUUAGGUUCAUUAGAUCAAUAAUAGUGACAACAUCCAAGUAUAUUAAUCUAAUGCAAGGUGUCAUACACUAAAAAAAGAAAAAGAAAAGGAAUAAAAAACUCAGAUACACAUCUAAGAUCUGAGCUUCUAAUGUAUAAACAUUAUAACAAAAAGAAUUGAAUUGAAGAGCAUAUGAAGGUUCAGAUAGCGAAAAGACAAUCAUAAUCACGGUAGAAAAUAUAAUGUGAAUAGAUUAUUACUGUUAAAGAAGUAAAGAAAAGAAUAGUCGUUAGGGUCCGCAUUAAAUAUAACUACAAUAGAAACAUUUGUUCCUACAACUAAUUUUGUCAAGGUAUCCAUAGCAAAAUCAUGAAAGCAUGCAAGAUUAUUGAUUAAAACUAUACAUGUUGCCUCAAAAAAGUAAUAAAAGAACUAUACAAAUAUCUAAUAUUGAAAAAUCUACACAAAGUUCAUCAAAAAACUUGAAUAACUAAGGGUCAGAAGAAUUUUCAAAUUUAAUGUGGUGCUAAUAAGAGGAAGAGGUUCCAAAUGAUGCAGAGAUAAAAUGUUUCAAGGAAUAAAUAAAUAAAAACCUAAAAGAUAAAUUUGGAAAUACAAUAAGCAUCAAACUUAAGUCGAAAAGAAAAGAUUUCCCAUCAAAUCCAAUCACAAAGAAUGUACCACACUUACAUGUAGUAGUGUAACAUAUAGCAAGACUGGUGGAUCAAUUAAAGUGAAGACUCUAGAUUAAUCAAGUCCUAAAUGAGGUACAUUCAAUUGGGUUAAAGAUUAUGCAGCUGCCUUAUGCGGCUAAUCCAUUAGGAAAUGUUGAUACUUUAGGCAACUUUUUAAAUAAUUUUUCAUUGAUAAAUUCCCUUCCUGAUUUUUGUAAUAUCAAUAUCAAAAUACAUUAUACGUAUUUCAGUAAGUUUAGCUAUAAUAGAAGAAAUGAAGAUGAAUAAUCAUAAAAUUCAUUCAAUAGAGAUAAACCUGCUCCAAGUUACCAUUGAUCUCUAUUGUACAACCUUAAAUUCAUGAAAAUACCCUUAAAGAAACAAACACAACUGUAAAAUCUAAUUAAAAGAACAAAAUAUAAAAAAGUUGAAAUGAAAAAAGUGAUGAUAUAAGUAUAAAUGUUAAUCUUAUUCUUUGUUAACAUUGUUCAGUCGAUUCUUAGAACCAUCAGACAUGAUUUUUUCUCCUGCACAUAUACAAAUUAUCAUUUGACAUAUAAAAAGUGCUAAGCUAAGUUUGCGACUAUCUGAUGGCCCAAUAUUUUAUAUUGAGAAUAGCUUGUCAAAUGACUAACAAUAUAUAUUAACCAUCUUAUCCAUCCUAAAAUACAUUUGUCGACAUCUAAUAUAUUAAUCUCAUCAAAGUCGCUCUCUUACAUUUAAAACUUUGAAUGUUAAAUAUAUAUGUACCUUUUGAUGUUUGAACUCAACACCUUCCACCAACUCCAAAAGGUGAAAGGAGGUGGAAUAAUUAGUGAUUCUCUUAGUAUACACAUUCACGACACAAUGAAGUGUUAGAACUUGUACCAUGACAUAGCCAAAGUAGAAAAUAUCUUGCAUGUAUAAAGAAAAAAAAAUUGAAAUAUAAGAUGCAGCAUACUUGAUUUAGGCAUCUGGAGUAUUCAGUAGUAGUAAAUUCAUUCAGUAACAACUUUCAAGCAACAAUCUUCUCCAUUUACCAUUUUAAUUAUAGAAAUCAGGCCCAUAGAGUUAAGGGUUAAAAAAAUUUUAAAAAAAGAAGUAGUUCAGCAACAUUAACUCUUUUAGUUUCUACCACUACCUGCCUGUACAUGACAUAUAUAGGCUUAGCUUUUAGUUUUUUUUGGAUUCGUGGUGGUUCAGAAAAGAGUAGGAAUGCUAUCAGUUACUUGUUUAACUUUUAAAAAAAAAUUGUUCAACUAAACUCAUAGAGAGUUGCGGAAAGGAUGAGAAGAAUUUCUUACCGAGUUACUUUGAAAUGCAUCGUCGAACGGGUUCUACCAACUGCAUUUGCAGUAUGGCUGACCGCAGUUCUUCGAAAGAUGCUCAACUGAAUAUUUUGUGGGAGAAACAUUUAAAAAAUUGGUAUGCAUCUAUAGAUAUUGCUGCUCAUAGAUAAUGGCAUUACCAUAUUGCCUUGAGAAAUGGUGCUUUCAUAACAUUUAUUCAAGAAAGCGACUGCCUUUGCUGUGAUGCUCUCUAGCAGGAGCCCAACCACUUAAAGUUUGAUAGAUAUCCAAUAGAAAACAUGAAGAACGUAAUAGACAACGGAGUAAGCGAAAGCAUAUAAAAUCACAUGCUAUUAUUUUAUAAGCUUGCUAAAUUAGGUAAAAGUAAGUAUCAGACAAAGAUCUCCACCAAAAAAGAACCCAAAAAAUGCCAAAAACUACAUAAAGGAAUUUCCACUAUAACAAGCAACCAAAAACACAUAAAAGUCCAUAGCAGACUAAGGUCAGAGCAUAUUACCUUGAUAUCACUUCCACAAAAAAGUAUGUAUUCAUAAAUCUUGUAUGCUGAUAAACAGACAACACUACAAAUACUGAUGAGAGAGUAAGCUCAUGUCCUAUUCCAUCCCAUUUAACCUGUACAACACAAAAACAAAAUGCAUCAAUGACCACCUAUUUAAGCUACUACAAUGUUAAUAAGAUUAAAUGCAUCAAGACACAAUUCCAUGAAGCACAUCUAGACCUAUCAGCCACUCAUACCUCCAAGGAAAUAAUCAAUAACAAGCUAAAAAUAUAUUGUGGAUUAAAUUGAUCACAUGUGUCAAGUGAACAAUAAGAAGAGAUAGAAUUUUUUUUUCUAUAUAUCUGAUUCAACUUAGUUAGUUACAUUAAUCUAAGUUGCUUGGCAAUGGAAAGGAAGCAUUGACAACUUAUCAUGAGAGCUUGAAGAAUGUUUAGAACGAAAAUCACAACACAGAAGGGGCAAUCAAAAGGAUUUCAUGUAGGGAAGGAUGACCAUGAGAAGAAACAAUGUAAUAAAAAGGAAGUCGUAAAUUUAAGGUCUCUACUAAUGAAUUGUGCACAGGUUAUUGUUACCGAUGAUUAGCACACAAAAGAACACUCCAUUCUAUAUAAUUAAAACUCAAUUCAGAUUUUCUCUAAUGCAAUCCAACAUCAUAUAAUAUUGCUAUAUUUUAGCACUGACGAAUGUCUGUAGGGCAUACCUAUAUAACAGAAAAAACAAAAUGUACAUAGGUCAUACUAAUAUAUUUACUUGUAUAAUUUGAUCAGUAUAAUAGAGUGAAGAGAAAUGACUUAACUAAGAAUCAAGCUGAUAAUGCCAUGAAACAAUAUAUCAUAAUGUAAAGACCAAAUAAGCAACAAAAUUGAUUACUCAAUUUUAUUAGAAGCAUCCAUGAGGUUCCAAAUAUUAGUUGCAUAAUUAUGAAUGCAUAUAUUUGUAGCAUAGCAUGACAACAGAGAAGAAUACAUGUAUAAUAGAGUGAAGAGAAAUGACUUAACUGAGAAUCAAGCUGAUAAUGCCAUGAAACAAUAUAUCAUAAUGUAAAGACCAAAUAAGCAACAAAAUUGAUUACUCAAUUUUAUUAGAAGCAUCCAUGAGGUUCCAAAUAUUAGUUGCAUAAUUAUGAAUGCAUAUAUUUGUAGCAUAGCAUGACAACAGAGAAGAAUACAUAUAAAUGUUGGACAAGAAUUUCUUACCAAAGUAAUACUGGCACCAGCCCACUGUAUCCAAGAAUUGUUUGGAAAGCUGAAGAAAUCAUUAUAGCUCCCUGCAACUCCUUUAUGAUUUGUUUGAAAUUCUACAAGUAGGAGAAUCUGAUUCAUAAAUGGUUGAAGUAGUAAUACGAUAAAACAAAUUGAACAGAGAGAAAAUUAAGCCACAUUAUUCUUACCUACCUUUGUGAUAUGUCAAUAUUAAUCUCAACGUUGCCUCAAUAAUAUGAAUCAUAAAAAGCUAUUAGCACUCUCUUUAUGAGUCAUUUCGAUAAAUUUAUAUGAUAUAUUAAAUAGCAUUUUUCAUUACUAUGUAAUGAGUGAAAAAAGUUCAUAAUAUUUUCAUCACUGAACAAACCACAUCACAAUAUAUGAUCAUUCGAACUUCUUUACUCUCCGCAAAUCAUAACAAAUUAAAUGAGCAUCAGCUGAUGUAUUAGAAAAGAAAAAGAUAACUACAUAUACCAAUUAAGAAGCCUGCCAUAUUUUUCUUGUUUAACUUUUUUUAAGAAAAAAAUUAUAAUCUAGAGUUGUCUAAGUCUUUGAUCAGAACUAUUCAAUCCAAUCGUAACCUAUUUUCAUAUGUGGUUGAAAAAUCUUCGUUUAGUUUCAUUAUGCAAUAUAAAAGUUAAGAACUAAAAAAAUAAACAUCCAAUGUAAUGGUAUGUUCUGCCCUUAAGCAAAUACUCUUCUACUUAGUAGUUAGUACUUACUUUAAAUUUUUCUUUCAUUAAUCAAGAUAGACACUUUGUAACUUAUUUUAUCGCUAAAUUUAUGGAAAUGUAAAUCCAAAGUUCCAACUUCCACACUAACCUCUUCUACCGCAUGCUUAACACUAUCUAAUUACAAAAAUCAAUUUAGAUAAGAUAAUAAAUCCCUCAUACAGAUUAACAGAAAAAAUAAAAUAAAAGUUGGACAAAUAUUGAAUGAGGAGUAGAACUGAAACAAUCAACACCCAACGAAGAAGUUUUUUAUUUUUUGUAGAUCACCCAACUAAGAAGUUGAAUGAACUGAAAAAGUAUUAUCUAAAAUAUAAGAAAAUUAAAAAAAAGAAAAAAAAAGAAAGGGGUAAAUCAAUCGUCUCUCUGCAAACAUGAAAAAAGUUGAAAGAAAAAAUACAUGAAAAUGUACCAUUCAACUGCGGAGAUGAAGAGAAUUGAAAGAGUAUCUUGAAAUCUGAAGAGAUUAUAAUAACUUAGGAAGAAAUCCUUGUUUGUCUGCUAGCAAAACAACAUCAAUAACAACUGAGAAAAUAGCAAGGAAAAUCCUACUUCUCCUCAACCCAAAAUUUCAGUUUCAGGUUUUCUCAACCCAAAAUUCCAAUCUACAGCAUCAACUAAGAAAUUUCGAGAAGAAGAUUUGAGCGGAGAUUGAGAAGAAGCCAUACCUUAAAUUGCAAGAAAUUCUUUAAAUUUAUUUAAGGAGAAUUGGCAUAGUACUCCUCUCUUCUCUUGGAAAAUGAAACGAACGUUUAUAGAGUAUGUGUGUCCUCCAAUGGAAGAACUCUGGAAGCUCCCAGAAUGAAAGAGACAGUUUCAGACUUUCAGUCUCCAACUUGAAAAUAUCAUGGAGUGAAA